rnacentral:rRNA from 1 species
UGCAUGAAGUUGGAAUUGCUAGUAAUCGCGGAUCAGCAUGCCGCGGUGAAUACGUUCCCGGGGAUUGUACACACCGCCCGUCACACCAUGAGAGUCGGGAACACCCAAAGUCCGUAGUCUAACCGCAAGGAGGACGCGGCCUAAGGUGGGUUCGAUAAUUGGGUGAAGUCGUAACAAGGUAAC